rnacentral:tRNA from 1 species
AGUUCCAUAGUGUAGUGGUUAGCAUGUCUGCUUUACAUGCAGAAGGUCCUGGGUUCACUCCAGUGGAGCCA